UACGGGGGGAGCAAGCGUUGUUCGGAUUUACUGGGCGUAAAGGGCGCGUAGGCGGUCAGCACAAGUCAGUUGUGAAAUCUCCGGGCUUAACUCGGAACGGUCAACUGAUACUGUGCGACUAGAGUGCAGAAGGGGCAACUGGAAUUCUCGGUGUAGCGGUGAAAUGCGUAGAUAUGCGGAGGAACACCGAUGGCGAAGGCAAUCCCCUGGACCUGUACUGACGCUCAUGCACGAAAGCGUGGGGAGCAAACAGG
rnacentral:rRNA from 1 species